GGUAGCAUAAUCACUUGCCCAUUAAUUGUGGGCUAGAAUGAAAGGACCAACGAAAUAAAAACUGUCUCUAUAAGUAACCAUAAAAAUUAAUCUCUAGCUGAAGAUUGUUAGAUACUGUCGAAGGACAAGAAGACCCUAUAGAGCUUUAUUUUUACAAAUAACUAAAAUUUGAAUAAAAUUCGGUUGGGGCGACCAGGGAAAUUAAGUAUCAUCCCUUAAUAACAGAUAAAUAAAUCACACACUUGACCCUUAACAAAAGAUCAUAAAAACAAGCUACCUUAGGGAUAACAGGCUAAUCCCGCUAAAGAGUCCUUAUCAAUAGCAGGGUUUGGCAC
rnacentral:rRNA from 1 species